GAGAGAGAGAGAGAGAGAGAGAGAGAAGAAGCGAGCACACGACCUUAUGUACACAAAACCCAGACCCUCCACCCUAUAACAAAAUCGACGGGAUCAGAUGAGAUCACGUGUCCCCCUCACUGUACAGCUCAAGCCAUACGGGGCAGGUUGUGCGCUCGCUCGUGUAGGAAGCGCGAGGAGCCAGGCAAGUCUUCCUCCACGCGCUGCAACGACAAGCUCGAGCAGAUCACACAGUGACAGCGAGAACGGAUAUCUUUCUUAAGAUUCUGCUCUUGUGAAACAGGGCCACAGACGAACUUUUCUCCACACGGACCCAAAAGUUCAUCUGUGAACACCCGCGGAACAAACGUGCUCCUUUAUAGGCCUAUGCAGAUCAUCUGUGGUGGUCUAUGACAAUGUGUUUUUUGGUAAAGACUUAAAAAGAAUAAAUUACUCGCGACCUCUCUUUGUAUUAGCCUAUGAAAUGUAACUGACGAGAACUAAAGGAUCUCUCUAUAUUUGCAUUUGCUUCACAACAGGUUCGAGGAUCCCUGGAAUCGUCAUGUGUUCUAAUAGAACAGCAGGGUUAUUUAAAUUUCACUGCAGCAGGUUAAAGAAAUAGAAAACUAAAUAUGAUUUGCAAUCAUCAAGUAGAAUGUUUAAAAGUAGGCUAUAAUUUAAAUAUAUUCUUACAGAUGUUUAUAAGUAACCUGUAAUUUAAAAAGUUUAACAUAGGUUUAACAUAUGAACUAAUAGCAUAUGUGAUAAUUUUUCUCCAUGUUUUGGAAUAAAUGACAAUGCUGAAUAUAUGUUUCUAGGGCAGUAAACUGACAACUACGACACAGGACGGAUUACCUAAAUGCGCAUUAAUGCAAAAAUCAAUUCUUUAAAAAGGACAACUAUCGAUGUAGGCUCCACAGAUUCAGAACUGCUCCAAAAUACACCAAAAUGUUAAUGUAAAUUUCAUUCAAAGAACUGGACAGUCAUCUAGCCUAUAAGAAACCCACGGAUCCGUGUGAACAAUUCCAACAUUAGCCUAAUCUCUGUGAAGAAGAGCAUUUUUCUUGCCAUAAUUGAACGAAUAGAUGUGUAUUCGUUUGCUAAAGGACAUUGUGACGUCUGUAUUUCUAU